UACAGAGGGUGCGAGCGUUGUUCGGAAUUAUUGGGCGUAAAGCGCGCGCAGGCGGCUGGAGAAGUCCAUGGGUGAAAGCCCGGGGCUUAACCCCGGGUCUGCAUUCGAUACGGGCAGGCUAGAGUUCGGUAGGGGAGAUCGGAAUUCCUGGUGUAGCGGUGGAAAUGCGCAGAUAUCAGGAGGAACACCGGUGGCGAAGGCGGGUCUCUGGGCCGAUACUGACGCUGAGGAGCGAAAGCGUGGGGAGCGAACAGG
rnacentral:rRNA from 1 species